AUGCUUAGAGUGGUAGAAAAGUGGUAGACCUUGGUUUUCUCAUAUGUGAAACAGGAAUGGAAAUUAUUACUUGGGAAGAUUGUUAGAAAUAUCAAGUGAGUCAAUGAGGUGAUGCUUCUGACACAUAGGAGGAUUACCACAAAUAUAAAUGCCCUACUCUUCCUUUCCCCCUAUUUGUUCCUACCUAGCUCAAAAGCUUGUUCAACUUUGUAAAUUUCCUCAGCCUCAGGUUUCGCUGGGCUCACUUCCAUAUUUGUGUGGCUCAUUCAGGUCUAUGGCAGAAAGGUAUACAUGAGUAAUUAGGAGUCCUCAAGUCAGUGUUUUAUGUGACAUUCAAUGUUAUCGGGAAGAUCUCUGCCAAAUAUGAAUGCUCAAGUAAUUUAUUCAAAAUGGCUUUAAACCUUCACUUGGCCAUUAACAAAAGUGGUUAUUGGGAUCACAAAACAAAACCUGAUUAUAUUCUUAUAAGUUGUAUUUUUUUUAUUUACUUUUUUUAGGGCUGCACCUGUGGCAUAUGGAGGUUCCCAGGCUAGGGGUCCAUCGGAGCCAGCCGUAACCACCAGCCUAUGCCACAGCUAUAGCAAUGUGUGAUCUGAGCUGCAUCGGUGAGCUACACCACAGCUCACUGCAAUGCUGGAUCCUUAACCCAGUGAGCAGGGCCAGGGAUCGAACCUGUGUCCUCAUGGAUCCUAGUUGGGUUUGUUAACUGCUGAGCCAUGACAGGAACUCUAAGAAUUAUUUAUUGAGUGCCUGUUAUGUGCCAGGCACUGUUCUAGGCACUGGUAAUAUAGCAGUCAUAAAACAAAGAUUUACAAGGAUUUUUCUCCCCAUGGAACAUAUAUCCCAGUGGGGAGAAGAGAAAAUAAAAAGUCAGGUUAACAAAUAUGUUAAUUAUACAGUAUGUUAGAAGAUGAUGAGUGCAAAGGACAAAAAAAAAAAAAAAGUAGAGCAGGAAAGGGAGAGUUGGAAAUGGUGGGGUUGAUAGUGUGGGGUUUGCCGUAUUAACUAUGGGUCUAGAUUAGGUUUUGUAAGAAGGUAAGAUUUGAUCAUUCAUAGUGGAAGGAACAACUAUUAUUACAAAGGUCCUGAGGCAGGGUCAUGUCUGGAAUGUUUGAGGAACAGCAAAGAGGCCAGCAAGGCUAGGGAAGAGUUUGUGAGAGGGAGUGGAAGUAGGGGAAACUAGGGAGGAAAGAGAGGAUAGAUUGUAUAGACCAUUAAAAGUAAUAUGCAGCAGAUUGUGAAGAGAGUCGACCAACAUGGUGACAUAGGAGUGUCCUGAUCUUCCCUCUCCCACAGACACACCAACUAUACAGAUACACGUGAGCAAUUCCCUCUGAAAGAGAUCCAGAAACUAGCUGUAGGACUCUUAUGCAGCUGACAAAUGAGGAGAUACCCACAUCAAAAUGGGUAGGAAAGGCAGAGGCAUACUCUUGCUAUAAACCCCACCCCAACACAGUGCCAUAUAAUUGGGAGGGAAACCCAACUUCUGCCUUCUCCCUGAGGAGCAAAUGAUUUGAACCCUACAUCUAGCUCUCAACUUUUAAGACUCCCACCAGAGGAAUGAGCUCCCCAAACACUUUAUCUCUAAAAGCCAAUAAGGCCUGGUCUCUGAGACUCCCAAGACUACAGCAAACAAACACAAUUCUUGGGAACAGGCAAGCAGUCACUAUGGCUGUUCCAUCAGGGCUCAGCAUGGAGGGACCAGGUGCAAUCACUCAUCUCCCAGUCUUUGCCUGAAAGGGGUUGAUCUAUAUACUUUAAAAGCUGCCGUCAGUGGGCCAGUCUUCUAAUUUAGCAGGCACUAGGGACUGGCUGUGAUCCUCUCUAGAGACCAAGGAAGCUGAAGAACACCUUUCCUACCUUUCAUUUCUUUUUCUUGCCUGGUUUCACUGGCUAGAACCUGCAAUCCUCUGUUGAAUAAAAGUAGUGAGGACAGAUGUUCUCAUCUUGUUCUGAUCUUAGGGAGAAUGCAUUCAGUCUCUCACCAUUAAGUUUGCUGUUAGCUGUAGGGUUUUUUUUGUAGAUGCUCUUUAUUAGGUGAGAAAAUUUCCUUUUUUAAUCCUAGUUUGCUGAGAGUUCUUAUUUUUUAAACAGAAGUGGGUGUUGCAUUCUGUCAAAAUCUUCUUAGUCUUUUGAGAUGGUCAUAUGAUUUGUCUCGUCUAGAUUGUUAGUAUGAUAAACUGUAUUGUUAGAUUUUUGAGUCAAUUUCUUUCCUGGAAAAAGGCACACUUGGUCAUGGUACAUCAUCAUUUUUAUAUAUUGUUGGGUUAUAUUUGCUAAAUUUUGUUUAAAAUUUUUGCAUGUAUAUUUAUGAGGGGUAUUGAUGUGUAAUUUUCUUUUCUUGUAAUGUCUGGUUUUUGUAUCAGAGUAAGGUGAGCCUCAUAGAAUGAGUUGUGGGAAAUAUUUCCUCACCUUCAAUUUUCCGGGAGAGUGUGUAGAACUGGUAUUGGCAUUAUUUCUUCCUAAACUGUACAGUGAAGCCAUCUGUGUCUAGAGAUUUUUAGUGGGUGGGUUUUAAAAUACAUAUUCUAUUUCUGUAAUAGCUAUAAGGCUAUUAGGUUAUCUAUUUUUUUUGGUAUAGAUGAUUUUUAAUAUAAACAGUAAAAUAUAAUGUCUCAACCACAGACCUUUCGUGUUAAAAAGGGUCUCUGACAUGAGCUGCUUUACAUUAUGAGGUGAAAAAGUUUAAGAACCUCACAGUGGAAAUAAUCCAACAGUGAUAAACUCCAGUGAUCAAAGACAUUCUCUUUUAGUUAAUGUGAAGCAAGGACAAUUCACAAUUACAGACAGAAUAUUCUGGCUGUUAGUAUCAUGAAACAGGCUAACUUUCCAGAUGAAAAGGCACUCACAGCUAGGGAUGAAACUAACCUUGAGUGAACUUUGGUAAACUGACAAACAAGGAAAGUGUUCAUUCCACUAUUAUAAUUUUUUGACAUAAAGUUGUUCAUAAUACUUGCUUUUUAUCCUUUUAAUUCUAUAGAAUCCGUGGUGACUUCACAUAUUUCUUUCCUGUAAUGAAUAACCGGUAUUCUCUCUCUCUUUUUUUUCUGGAUUAGUAUAACUAGAAGUUUACCAAUUUGAUUGACCUUCUCAAAGAAUUAGUGUUUGGUUUUGUUGAUAUUCUCUCUUAGUUCUGUUUUCUAUUUCUUUGAUUCUUGCUUUCAUUUUUACUGUUUUAUUUCUUCUGAUUGUUUAAUUUUCUCUUUUCUAGUUUCUUAUGUGGAAGCUGAGGUAAUUGAUUUGAGAACUUUCUUUUUUCGUGUUAUAGACAUCUAAUGCUAUAAAUAUCCCCCGAAUUACUGUGUAAGCAGCAACUCAGAAUUCUGAUAUAUUGGGUUUUAAUUUUCCUUUAGUUCAAAAUAUUUUCUAUUUACUUCUGACUUUUUGUUUUUGACUUAUGGGUUAUUUAUCAGUGAUUUUCAAAUAUUUGAAGAUUUUUCAGAUAACUCAGUUACUGAUUUCUGUUUGGAUAUAUUGUGGUCACAAGGCAUAAUUUUUUAUGACUUGAAUGUAUUUCAAGUUUGAGACUUGCCUCAUGGCUCCAAACAUGGUCUCCUUUUGGUAAAUAUCAUGUGUAUAAUUGAAAAUCAUAUAUAUACAUAUAUAUGUAUAUAUGGUGCUACACGUGGGGCACAUGGAAGUUCCUGGACUGAUGAUCAAAUCUGAGCCACAGUAAUGCCAGACCCUUAACCCACUGCACUGGGUCAGGGAUCCAACCAGAGCCUCCGCAGAGACAAGCUAGAUCAUUCACCCACUGUGUCACAGCGGAAACUCCUAUUUUGCUGCUUUUGAGGAAAAUAUUCUAUAAAUGUUGAUCAUAUCAAUUUGGUUGAUAGUGUGGUUUAAAAAUACUAUAUCCUUGCUGAUUUUCUUUCUACUUAAUUUUUUCAAUUAUUGAGAGAUGGAUAGUGAAAUAUCUGGUCAUAAUUGUGUACUCGUCAGUUUCUCUUUGCAGUUCUUUUAGGUUUUGCUUAAUAUAAUUUGAAGCUCUCUUAUUAGGUAUGUAAACAUUUAGGUUGCUAGAUCCUCUUAAAAAAUUGACACCUUUGUCAUUAGAAAACAUCCUUCCUUAUUUAUGAUAGCAUUCUUUGCUUUGAAAUCUACUUUGUCUAAUUUAAUAUAACCAUUCCAAAUUUCUUUUGACUUAUAGCAUGAUAUAUCUGUUUUUAUCAGUGAUGAUUAAUUUUAUCAGUGAUACCUAAUUUUAUGUAUCAACGGCACUAGGCUAUGGUGCCGUUCGUUGCUAGGUCAAACACUGUCCCAGUGUUAUGUGAAGGUAUUUUGUAUAUGUGAUUAAUAACUACAACCACUUGACUUUAAGUAAAACAGAUUGUGAGUGGGCCUCAGCGAAUCAGUUGAAGACCUUAAGAGCAAAAAUCGAGGUUUUUCUGGAGAAGACAUAAUUUAUCCCAAGGCUAUAACAAAAAUCCUGUCUGAGUUUCUAGCCUGGCAGCCUGCCCUAUGCACAUCCAACUCAUGGCUGCAACAUUAAUUCUUACCUGAAUCUCCAGCGUGCUGGUUUGCCCUGUGGAUUCUGGACUUGCCAUCUCCCAUGUACAUGUGAGCUAAUUCUCUGAAAUAAGUAAAAAAUAUUUCUGUCUUUGUCUUUGUCUCUCUUGCUUGAUCUAAAUAUCUGUCUGUCUGUCUGUCUGUCUAUCUAUCUGUCUGACUAUCUAUCUAUCUAUCUAUCUAUCUAUCUAUCUAUCUUUGGGUGUAUCGCUUUCUUUUUCUAUCUAGAUAGAAAAAGAGGAAAAAUGGAACAAAGAUAAAAUAGAACUUAAAAAAAAAAAGACAAACCUAAUCCCAACCAAACCAAUAUUAACAUUAAAUUUAGGUAUUUUAAACACCCCAAUUAAAAGACAGAGAUUGCCAAAUUGGAUUAAAAAAAAAAAAAACAAGGAGUUCCCGUGGUGGCGCAGUGGUUAACGGAUCUGACUAGGAACCAUGAGGUUGCAGGUUCGGUCCCUGCCCUUGCUCGGUGGGUUGACGAUCCGGCGUUGCCGUGAGCUGUGGUGUAGGUUGCAGAUGCGGCUCGGAUCCCGCAGUUGCUGUGGCUCUGGCGUAGGCCAGUGGCUACAGCUCCGAUUGGACCCCUAGCCUGGGAACCUCCAUAUGCCACAGGAGUGGCCCAAGAAAUAGCAAAAAGACAAAAAACAAACAAACAAACAAAACAACAACAACAACAACAACAAAAACAAGACUGAGUUGGGUGCUGCCUCAAAUAAUGCAUCUGAAAUAUAAAGGCACAGAUAGCUUAAAAAUAAAAGAAUGUGUAUUAAUUUGAGCUCUCCAGAAAAAACACAACCAUUAGGAUUCCUCCUCCUCCCUCUCUCUCUUUUCACUUUGUCUCUCUCUCUCUCUAACUUUAAAACAGAUGGUCUACUGUGUUACCAGAUUUCUGGUACACAUCCUUUAUUAACCUGAGAUUUUAAAAUAUCAACAGUAAAUGCAGAAUUUUGUUAACAAAAUUUGUUUACAAAAUUUGUUGAAAUGACCACAUGGCAUUCUCAUUUGCAUCCAUGUCUGUGUAAAAUUAGUGUGUGUGUGUAUAUAUUAGUAUAUAUAUAUAUUACUAUCCUUAUUCUGUGUUGGUAUAAAAAUUAGCCUAGAUUCUUAGAAAAAGAUGGGAUACUUUCUUCUUUUAUAUGUUCUAAAAAUCUUUUUGGCCUCAGUGUUUUUUUUUUGUAGCAAAUUUUUUUUUUUUUUUUUUUACAAAUUUUACAUGUUUUUGUAUGGUUAUUAUUCUACCAAUGUUUCCAAAAACUCAAAAAGAUAGUUUUAUUAUAUUUUCCUUUAAACAUUUUUUGAAAUAUAAUUCACAUACCACAAAAUUCACUCAUUUAAAUAAUAUGGUGUAAUGCUUUUAGUAGAUUCAAAGUUUCACAAUGUCAUGGGUUGAAUGAUGCUCCCCUAAAAGAUUUAUUUACCCAGUACCUUGGAAUAUGACUUUAUUUGGAGUAAGGGCCUUGCAGCUGUCACUAAGGAUCUCAAGAUGAGAUUUCCCUGAAUUAGGGUGUACCCUAAAGUUAGAUUAGUGUCCUUAUAAGAGAUAGGUAAAAGAAGACACAGGGACAUGGGGAAAGCCAUGUGAUGAUGGAGGUAGAGAUUGGAUUAAUGCAUUUUGCAAGCCAGGGAAUGUCAGAGAAAAGGCAGAGCCACAGGAAAAAAGGAGAAAAGCUUAGAAUGAAUUCUCCUUCAGACUCUAGAAGGAACCAGUGGUGCUGAGACCUUAAUUUCAGACUUCUAGACUCUAGAGCUGUGAAAAAAAAUGCAGGUCUAUUGUUUUGAGCCAUCAAGUUUGUGGUAAUUUGUUUUAGCAUCUGUAAGAGACAAAUAUACAUUUUGGGACUGGAAAGUGAAGGGCAGCUUUAAGAAAGACAUGAUAGAAAGAGCUUGGCUUGGGAAUUCCCUGGUGUUGCAGCAGAUUAAGGAUCUGACGUUGUCAUGGCUGUGGCUCAGGUUGCUGCUGCGGUACAGGUUCAAUCCCUGGUCCAAGAAGUUCUGCAUGCUGUGGGUACGGCCAAAAAAAA
rnacentral:lncRNA from 1 species